rnacentral:rRNA from 1 species
UACGGGGGGAGCAAGCGUUGUUCGGAUUUACUGGGCGUAAAGGGCGCGUAGGCGGCCACUGCAAGUCAGUUGUGAAAUCUCCAGGCUUAACCUGGAAAGUGCAGAGGGGACUGUUCAGCUAGAGGAUGGGAGAGGAGCGCGGAAUUCCCGGUGUAGCGGUGAAAUGCGUAGAUAUCAGGAGGAACACCGAUGGCGAAGGCAGCUCGCUGGGACGGUACUGACGCUGAGGCGCGAAAGCGUGGGGAUCAAACAGG